AUUGAACGCUGGCGGCAUGCCUUACACAUGCAAGUCGAACGGUAACAGGCCGCAAGGUGCUGACGAGUGGCGAACGGGUGAGUAAUGCAUCGGAACGUGCCCAGUCGGGGGGGAUAACUGCUCGAAAGAGCAGCUAAUACCGCAUACGACCUGAGGGUGAAAGCGGGGGACCGGAAGGCCUCGCGCGAUUGGAGAGGCGGAUGUCAGAUUAGCUAGUUGGUGGGGUAAAGGCCUACCAAGGCAACGAUCUGUAGUUGGUCUGAGAGGACGACCAGCCACACUGGGACUGAGACACGGCCCAGACUCUUACGGGAGGCAGCAGUGGGGAAUUUUGGACAAUGGGCGCAAGCCUGAUCCAGCAAUGCCGCGUGCAGGAAGAAGGCCUUCGGGUUGUAAACUGCUUUUGUACGGAACGAAACGGCUCUGGUUAAUACCCGGGGCUAAUGACGGUACCGUAAGAAUAAGCACCGGCUAACUACGUGCCAGCCGCCGCAGUAACAC
rnacentral:rRNA from 1 species